AGUGCGUCUUAAGCAUGCAAGUCAAACGGGAUGUAGCAAUACAUCUAGUGGCGAACGGGUGAGUAACGCGUGGAUGAUCUACCUACGAGAUGGGGAUAACUAUUAGAAAUAGUAGCUAAUACCGAAUAAAGUCAAUUAAUUUGUUAAUUGAUGAAAGGAAGCCUUUAAAGCUUCGCUUGUAGAUGAGUCUGCGUCUUAUUAGUUAGUUGGUAGGGUAAAUGCCUACCAAGGCGAUGAUAAGUAACCGGCCUGAGAGGGUGAACGGUCACACUGGAACUGAGAUACGGUCCAGACUCCUACGGGAGGCAGCAGCUAAGAAUCUUCCGCAAUGGGCGAAAGCCUGACGGAGCGACACUGCGUGAAUGAAGAAGGUCGAAAGAUUGUAAAAUUCUUUUAUAAAUGAGGAAUAAGCUUUGUAGGAAAUGACGAAGUGAUGACGUUAAUUUAUGAAUAAGCCCCGGCUAAUUACGUGCCAGCAGCCGCGGUAAUACGUAAGGGGCGAGCGUUGUUCGGGAUUAUUGGGCGUAAAGGGUGAGUAGGCGGAUAUAUAAGUCUAUGCAUAAAAUACCACAGCUCAACUGUGGAACUAUGUUGGAAACUAUAUGUCUAGAGUCUGAUAGAGGAAGUUAGAAUUUCUGG
rnacentral:rRNA from 1 species